rnacentral:rRNA from 1 species
AUUGAACGCUGGCGGCAGGCCUAACACAUGCAAGUCGAGCGGAGCGGCGGACGGGGAAGUAAUGCCUAGGAAUCUGACUGGUCGUGGGGGAUAACGUCCGGAAACGGGCGCUAAUACCGCAUACUAUCAGAUGAGCCUAGGUCGGAUUAGCUAGUUGGUGGGGUAAAGGCCUACCAAGGCGACGAUCAGUAACUGGUCUGAGAGGAUGAGCAGUCACAAUGGAACUGAGACACGGUCCAGACUCCUACGGGAGGCAGCAGUGGGGAAUAUUGGACAAUGGGCGAAAGCCUGAUCCAGCCAUGCCGCGUGUGUGAAGAAGGUCUUCGGAUUGUAAAGUACUUUAAGUUGGGAGGCGUUACCAACAGAAUAAGCACCGGCUAACUUCGUGCCAGCAGCCGCGGUAAUUC